rnacentral:lncRNA from 1 species
GAUUGGGGGUAUGGGGACAAUAUGGGGUCACUGCGGGGAUUGGGGUAUGGGGACCUUAUGGGGUCAUUAUGGGAAUGGGGGCAUUAUGGGGUCAUUAUAGGGAAUGGGGAUAUGGAGACUUUAUGGGGUCAUUAUAGGGAAUGGAGUUAUGGGGUCAUUAUGGGGUCAUUAUGGGGAAUGGGGAUAUGGGGACUUUAUGGGGUCAUUAUGGGGUAUGGGGAUAUGGGGACCCUAUGGGGUCAUUAUGGGGUCAUUAUAGGGACUGGGGACAUUAUGGGGUCAUUAUGGGGAUUGGGGACAGUGUGGGGUUAUGGAGAUAUGGGGACCUUAUGGGGUCAUUAUGGAGUAUGGGGGCGUGAGAACAAUAUGAGAACAUUAUGGGGAAUGGGGACAUUAUAGGGGAUGUGCGGGUCUAUGGGGCAUUGUAG